rnacentral:rRNA from 1 species
UACGAAGGGGGCUAGCGUUGUUCGGAAUCACUGGGCGUAAAGGGCGCGUAGGCGGCCGAUCAAGUCGGGGGUGAAAGCCUGUGGCUCAACCACAGAAUUGCCUUCGAUACUGGUUGGCUUGAGACCGGAAGAGGUAAGUGGAACUGCGAGUGUAGAGGUGAAAUUCGUAGAUAUCGGGAGGAACACCAGUGGCGAAGGCGGCGAUCUGGGUCGAUACUGACGCUGAGGUGCGAAAGCGUGGGGAGCAAACAGG